UACGAACUGUGCGAACGUUAUUCGGAAUCACUGGGCUUAAAGGGUGCGUAGGCGGCUUGUUAAGUCAGGUGUGAAAUCCCCCGGCUCAACCGGGGAACAGCGCUUGAAACUAGCAGGCUUGAGUGAGGUAAGGGUGUGCGGAACUUCCAGUGGAGCGGUGAAAUGUUUAGAUAUUGGAAGGAACGCCGGUGGCGAAAGCGGCACACUGGGCCUUGUCUGACGCUGAGGCACGAAAGCUAGGGGAGUGAACGGG
rnacentral:rRNA from 1 species